GACGAACGCUGGCGGCGUGCUUAACACAUACAAGUCGAACGGAAAGGCCCUGCGUUUGUUGGUUUCUCGAUUGGCGAACGGGUGAGUAACACGUGAGUAACCUGCCCUUGUCUUUGGGAUAACUUCUGGGAACUGGGGCUAAUACCGCAUAUGAGCUCCUGCUGCAUGGUGUGGUUUGGUAAGUUUUGGCGUUUGGGGAUGGACUCGCGGCUUAUCAGCUUGUUUGUGUGGUAGUGGCUUACCAAGGCUUUGACGGGUAGCCGGCCUGAGAGGGUGACCAGCCACAUUGGGACUGAGAUACGGACCAGAAGCCUACGGGCGGCAGCAGUGGGGAAUAUUGCACAAUGGGCGGAAGCCUGAUGCAGCAACGCCGCGUGCGGGAUGACGGCCUUCGGGUUGUAAACAGCUUUCGACUGUGACGAAGCGUGAGUGACGGUAAUGAGUAAAGAAGCACCGGCUAACUACGUG
rnacentral:rRNA from 1 species